rnacentral:lncRNA from 1 species
GCCUUUAGAAGAAACGGAGCAAGAGGCCAUUGUCAGCCAGCCAGUCUGAAACUGAAACUCAUCGUGGAGGGAAGAGAAGACAAGCUAGAUGAAAACCCGGCCAGCGAGUCUUUGUCAAACGGGGGAAUAUAAAUAAUAUAAGAAGAAACGGGCUAACAACAACAAUAACACGCGGAUAAUAAUUCCUAAACACGUGAUAAGUUGCGGCGUGUAUUUGGAUUUUGGGACGUGGACGCAUGGUGCACGCGUGGAACUUAUAACGAGCGUGUCCGUCCGCUUUGUGUUUGCCUGUUUGAUUCGAAUUUGAUGACCGCCCUCCAAUCAAACGAGAGCGCGCUCGCUUUCGAGAGAAUCGCCGGGGGAUUGGCUGCCGGCCGCGAGUGGCGGCGUGACGACUGACGAGAGCAAAUUAACGAACAGAAACCGACCUCCACGCGACGCGACGCGCAGCAACGAGUGGUGCGGAAAGCGUCACGACGCAAAACCGGACGGGGUCCACAUGACAGAGAGCGAGCGAGCGAGAGAAGAAGCCGGGUAGGUUCCGAGGUACUAGUAAUAGUGGUGGGGGGAGGACCGGAGGAGAGGACGGGACGGACGGCUGAUGCUGACCUUGCGUUUCCAGCGCGAGGCGGACGGUGUAGCCGUGGCGGAGGAGGCGGUCGACGACGGCGAACCCGACGAAGGAGAUGCCGCCCGUGACGCAGACGGCGCGCGCCGCGGCCCCGGCGCCGGCGUCGCCCCCGGGCGCGCGCUUGGCGUCCGCGUGGCCCCGGCCCGCCGAGCGGCGCCACCCGCCGCCCGCCGCUGCCUCGCCGUGCCCGCCGCCGCCUGACAGGCCGAGCGCGGCGCGCAGCUCGUCCACCUCCGCCUGAAGGCUCUGCGUGCUCCGAAGCACGCCCAUGCUCGCCUACCUCUGCUGCCGCCGGGUGGUGGUGGUCCCUGCUCCCGCGCUGGUGCUACUGCCUGCUGCGGUAGUGGUGGUACGUGCCUCUGCGCGCGCGUUGGUGGAGCGGUUCCCCGAGUGAGUGGGGUGGGGUGGGUGCGCGCAGGCGGGGACGUGGAUAAAUAGCCACAGCCUCCUGGCCUCCUACUACAGGUGAGGAGGGAGGGGGGACACGCCUCAUCUCGCUCCGUUGGGACGUUGGGUAGGUAGGCUUUUGUGUGCUGGGAGGGCGGCCCCCGCGUGGUCAGCCAUUGUGUUGUGGACUCGCUGCUGCUGCGGCCUUGUCGUUGGACGGAGUGGGGAGCCCCAGGGACAUGGGGGUAGUUGCGCUGGACGGCAGGGAUCGCACGGCCGUUCCUAUCGGACGGUGUAGCCUUGGGUUUCGGCGGAACUGAGCACGAGUUGCUGGAUCAACUUCUGAUUCUGUGGAGUGUUUAGUUGGGGGUGAACUAUUCUCCUCCGCUACCUCCCAACUUCUGCUUGGUGUUAAAUUAUUGCGCUGGGGGUAGGGGUGGAGGAGCUUAAGUAGCCACGCUAUGCAUCGCAGGCCAUUGAUUUCGAUGGAAACCGGUUUGAUUAUGAAGCUCAACAGUAUACUAGCACAGCACCUCAGAAACAGACUCUUGUAAUAACUGAUUAACUGUCCAGAUCCUGAUGGAGAGUGGUGGAAUAUAAAUAAGAGUCUUUUUUUUUAUUAUCUUUUUGUGUAGGGAAUCAUAUCAAAACAUAUGAUUCACUACAAAUGAAGAUACGAUUUUUCUAAGACAUAUUAAUCGUAUCAAAACAUAUCUUGUUUUUGUACGGAAUCGAAUGAAAGAUGACUUUUAUAUAGUUUUGGGUCUUUUUUUUUCAUUUGAAGUUAUUAAGAUGCUCGAAAAAAUCAAUGGUAUAUUCAGACUUAAGGGUAUUUUUGACUUUUUAAAUCCGCAAUUUAACACCACCAGAGCUAAAUUUGACGAAAAUGACAUGGAGGGCAAAAAAAACUUUAGACCAAUGGCAACAGUAAUUAUUCAACUUUUUUAAUGGUCUAUAGGAAUUUUUUAGAAUGGCACACAGAAAAAGCCUCUACACAGUAAAUAAGCACGUCGUCCGAUAAUGAUCUGAGGUAUACAGCUCUAGGAAAUUUGAUGAGGCGCACCGUUGGCCCCGUGUAUUGUUGGCACGGUGGAAACAUAUUUGACAUCGCUUACAUUAUAUCUUUUCUCUACACCUAAAAACAUGGAAUAGACCCGUCUACCGCCCUUGGUAGCCAAGCACCAAAGUUUCACCAUGCUAUACCUUUUUGCGCCGACAUGUGGCCCCACGCCCACUAACCCUGCCCGACUCCCAGUCCUUGAAUCCCCUUCCCCUGUCCCUCGCUCCUGAUGCGCCGAGCACCCGCCCUAGCUUUCUCCUAAAUUUAAAAAUAUAUUAAAUUCAAAUUUGUUACAACAAUACUAAUCCGUUCUAAUAGAAACUAAUCACUAAUAACAUCCAUUCAAUACAAUAGGUAACUGUUCCAGAGAGUUGUUAGAGCAGCUAAGAGCAGAGGCUACACCAAAAUGGAGGCCAAGGUGUAUUUUUGUGAUUGCAUAGCAUUGAAAGUGAUUUUGGAAUACUAAUAGAUAUAGUGAUGUGAUGGCUAACUGUGACCUAGCUAAUGUUUCUCAAGGAUCCAUUAUUUUGAAGGAAAGAAAAAUCAUCACUCCAUAUGUUUAGACCCCUCCACUAACCCUGGGCAAAUUACCCGAUACCCAUUACCCGUACCCGAAUUACCCGGAUCCGAACCCGAAUUACCCGAACCCGAGGUACCCGAUCCUAAAUUCGGAUAGCGAUUUUGAUUACCCGAAAUUAGUUUGGGUAAUUCGGGUAAUAUCCCCCGGUACCCGAACUACCCGAAUUACCCGAAUAUUUGUCUUUAUCUUUGUAUAUAUCAUGUGUUGUUACCUAAAUAUUAGAACUUAUCAAUUUAAUAGAACAUAAUUCUCUUUGUUUGAACAAGUGCUAGUAAUAUAUUAUUCUCUACAAAAUGCUGUUGAAAUUAUAUAUAAAUUGCUGCUGAAAUUAUAUAUAAAUUGCUAUUGAACUUUUGUAUAGUGUGUUGUUUUUUGAAAAUUCGAGUAAAUCGGGAAUACCCGAACCCGAACCCGAAUUAUCGGGUACCCGAAAUUGCGGGUAGUGUUUUUUCGGGACUAAUAUCGGGUAACAAUUUUCAUUACCCGAAUUUUGAAUUACCCGAAUUACCCGACCAGAAAAAAUCGGGUAACCCGAAUGCCCAGGGUUACCCUCCACUGUACUCAUUGACUAAAAUCUUAAUAUAGGUGGCCGUGUUUAGUUUGUGAAGGGAAAAAUUUCGCGACAUUAUUGUCUAACCAUAGACUAACUAGGCUCAAAAGAUUCAUCUCGUAAAUUCCGACUAAACUGUGCAAUUAGUUUUUAUUUUCGUCUAUAUUUAAUACUCUAUGCAUGCGUCUAAAGAUUCGAUGUAAUAGGGAAUGUUGAAAAAUUUUGGGUUUUAGGGUGGAAGUAAACAAGGCCUAAAGACGUGUACAACGUGCUUGUUCUUCACUUCGUUAUAUACUGAACUUGGAUCAGAUUGCCCACAGAAAAAAGCCACCUGUAGCAGACGUGCAAAAUGAAUAGUAGGAGCUAGAUGAUAAUGAUGUUGGCUUAUGACAAUGAAUUUUGUAGCUGUAGCUUUCUGGAGUG